UACGUCGGAUUGGAAUACUUUAUUAUAGCAUUUUAUAAAUGCUAUGCCGAAAUUUUUUUUUUGGUUUCACGCCUAUCUUUUAAGUGCCCGCUUAAGUGAAAAACAAGCGGUUCAUUUUCCCUCUUAACACUUAGGGAAAAAAUCCUCUAUCUCUUCUAUUCUCCAAGUCUCCAUCUCCAAACCCUAAUUUCAAUUCACCUUAUUGGCUGCAGAGCUUUCUGGAUUCACAAGCUCAGCUUCAGGAAUUGCAUUGGAGCGAGAAGAUCGGAUUCUCGUCGGAUUGAAUUCCACCACUGGAAGCGGAAUCUUCGAAUAUCCGAUGAGAUUCGCGUCUUCUUCCUCAGAUCGUUGAAGAAACAGUUUCUUGCGUCUAGGCUCGUCGGCUUCCUUCGAUUCCGGCGAUGGACGUUUCACGGGGCUGGUGGUUGAGGUGGUUGAAGAGGAGCUGAAAGAUCCGAAGUUGAAGAUGGUGCCAGAUACUUCGUCGACGACUUCAAUCUCUCUCUCUCGACCGCCGCUUUAUCCCUCUCAGUCUCCCUCUCUCUUUUUCCCCCUUUCCUUCGAUUUUGUCAUAAACCCUAAUUUUACUUCUUUAUUUCGUCUUGUUUUUGCUACAGGUUAUCCUAAGAGAUUUAAAUCGAGAAGGGAAAAAAUCUCUGAGCUUCUUUUCUCUUGUAGAGUGAAUCGAUGCAUCAGAUGCGACCAUCUCGAGCUUACGAUUCCUGGGGACGACGAAGAGGGAGAGGCUAAUUUGGGAUGUGGAGUCGCCGGUGAUGAUGGUGUUACGAGGGUUGAUGUUGAUGAAGAUUAUGAAGAAGCUGGUGGUAGUAAAGAGAGCAAAGCUAAUAGAUUAUAGAUGAGCCAAUCUCGGUGUUGCUCGAAUCCUUGAGAAAGCUUCAAUUGAUGUCUUUGAAUUUGGAUAUUCUUAAGAGUACUGAAAUCGGAAAGGCUGUUAAUGGUUUGAGGAAACAUGGGUUUUGAUAAGA